rnacentral:rRNA from 1 species
UGGGGAAUUUUGGACAAUGGGGGCAACCCUGAUCCAGCAAUACCGCGUGUGUGAAGAAGGCCUUCGGGUUGUAAAGCACUUUUGUCCGGAAAGAAAUCCUUGGCUCUAAUACAGUCGGGGGAUGACGGUACCGGAAGAAUAAGCACCGGCUAACUACGUGCCAGCAGCCGCGGUAAUACGUAGGGUGCAAGCGUUAAUCGGAAUUACUGGGCGUAAAGCGUGCGCAGGCGGUUUGCUAAGACCGAUGUGAAAUCCCCGGGCUCAACCUGGGAACUGCAUUGGUGACUGGCAGGCUAGAGUAUGGCAGAGGGGGGUAGAAUUCCACGUGUAGCAGUGAAAUGCGUAGAGAUGUGGAGGAAUACCGAUGGCGAAGGCAGCCCCCUGGGCCAAUACUGACGCUCAUGCACGAAAGCGUGGGGGAGCAAACAGGAUUAGAUACCCUGGUAGUCCACGCCCUAAAACGAUGUCAACUAGUUGUUGGGGAUUCAUUUCCUUAGUAACGUAGCUAACGCGUGAAGUUGACCGCCUGGGGAGUACGGUCGCAAGAUUAAAACUCAAAUGAAUUGACGGGGUCAUA